AUGUGUGGCUUAGGAGAGAUUUGUUACGAUGCUUAUGAAGCCCCCCCUGAUUAUAUGCAUAGUAAAAUAGGUAAGUGCGGGAGCUCCCCCUUAAUGCGUGCUUUGAAGAUAAUAGCAUGAUAUAACAUUGCACCAUAAUAGUUCAACAAUACAUAGCAUAUCAUAAGAAUCAAUAAUUCAUAGCAUAUCAUAUGAAUCAAGGCAUAGCAUAUGAAUCAAUAGGAUAGCAUAAAACUCAUCAUCAUAUGACACAAUGAUAAUAUCAUGAUAUCUCAUCACCACAUGAUAGUUUAACAAUACAUCAUCCAUAAGUGAUGGCAUAGCACAUCAUCCAUAAGUAUCGUUACAUGAUGACACAUCAUUAAGUUCGACAUAAUACAUCAUACCAUACAUUAUGAGAGAGACUAAAAUCGAAACUAAGAUAAGAUAAUGUCCUCCCCCUUUGGCAUCAAGGACCAAAAAGGAAGGAACCCGACAAUGCUACCA
rnacentral:lncRNA from 1 species